AAGGCCGGCCCAUAAAAGCGGCCGGAGAGCUUGCGGUGGAGCUCGCGAGACGGGAGAAGCUCGAGUGGAAUCCCGCCGACACUGGCUGCGUCGUCCUCUACCAAAAUGCUCCCUCGGUGUGUCACACUCUUAGCGGUCCUCACUCUCGUCCCCCUAAGUGCGGCCGCUCCGCUUCCUGACCGAAGGAAGGCGCCGCUGCCGCUCGCUUAUCUUGAUGGGAGGGCAACCACGCCAACGGUGACGUCACGGCCAGCUCCCGCCGAGCCGCGCGGCGCAUCCGAUUCUCCAGGUGCCGACGACUCCCGGGAACAAGCCGAAG